UACGUAGGGUGCAAGCGUUGUCCGGAAUUAUUGGGCGUAAAGAGCUCGUAGGCGGUUUGUCACGUCGGAUGUGAAACCCUGAGGCUCAACCUCAGGCCUGCAUUCGAUACGGGCAGACUAGAAUUCGGCAGGGGAGACUGGAAUUCCUGGUGUAGCGGUGAAAUGCGCAGAUAUCAGGAGGAACACCAAUGGCGAAGGCAGCUUGCUGGGACGUGACUGACGCUGAGACGCGAAAGCGUGGGGAGCAAACAGG
rnacentral:rRNA from 1 species